rnacentral:rRNA from 1 species
AUUGAACGCUGGCGGCAGGCCUAACACAUGCCAGUCGAGCGGAUGAAGGGAGCUUGCUCCUGGAUUCAGCGGCGGACGGGUGAGUAAUGCCUAGGAAUCUGCCUGGUAGUGGGGGAUAACGUCCGGAAACGGGCGCUAAUACCGCAUACGUCCUGAGGGAGAAAGUGGGGGAUCUUCGGACCUCACGCUAUCAGAUGAGCCUAGGUCGGAUUAGCUAGUUGGUGGGGUAAAGGCCUACCAAGGCGACGAUCCGUAACUGGUCUGAGAGGAUGAUCAGUCACACUGGAACUGAGACACGGUCCAGACUCCUACGGGAGGCAGCAGUGGGGAAUAUUGGACAAUGGGCGAAAGCCUGAUCCAGCCAUGCCGCGUGUGUGAAGAAGGUCUUCGGAUUGUAAAGCACUUUAAGUUGGCAGGAAGGGCAGUAAGUUAAUACCUUGCUGUUUUGACGUUACCAACAGAAUAAGCACCGGCUAACUUCGUG